AUUGAACGCUGGCGGCAUGCCUUACACAUGCAAGUCGAACGGUAACAGGUCUUCGGAUGCUGACGAGUGGCGAACGGGUGAGUAAUACAUCGGAACGUGCCCGAGAGUGGGGGAUAACGAGGCGAAAGCUUUGCUAAUACCGCAUACGAUCUCAGGAUGAAAGCAGGGGACCGCAAGGCCUUGCGCUCACGGAGCGGCCGAUGGCAGAUUAGGUGGUUGGUGGGGUAAAAGCUGACCAAGCCGACGAUCUGUAGCUGGUCUGAGAGGACGACCAGCCACACUGGGACUGAGACACGGCCCAGACUCCUACGGGAGGCAGCAGUGGGGAAUUUUGGACAAUGGGCGCAAGCCUGAUCCAGCCAUGCCGCGUGCAGGAUGAAGGCCUUCGUGUUGUAAACUGCUUUUGUACGGAACGAAAAGACUCUGGUUAAUACCUGGGGUCCAUGACGGUACCGUAAGAAUAAGCACCAGCUAACUACGUGCCAGCCGCCGCGGUAAAAC
rnacentral:rRNA from 1 species